AUAACAUCCGGAAACGGGUGCUAAUACCGCAUAGUUUCUUGAUUGCAUGAUUGAGAAAGGAAGACGGCCUUUGUGCUGUCGCUUAUGGAUGGACCCGCGGCGUAUUAGUUAGUUGGUGAGGUAACGGCUCACCAAGACGAUGAUACGUAGCCGACCUGAGAGGGUGAUCGGCCACAUUGGGACUGAGACACGGCCCAAACUCCUACGGGAGGCAGCAGUAGGGAAUCUUCCGCAAUGGGACGAAAGUCUGACGGAGCAACGCCGCGUGAGUGAAGAAGGGUUUUUUCCGGAUCGUAAAACUCUGUUGUCAGAGAAGAACAAGUUGGAGAGUAACUGCUCCAGCCUUGACGGUAUCUGACCAAGAAAGCCACGGCUAACUACGUGCCAGCAGCUGC
rnacentral:rRNA from 1 species